rnacentral:tRNA from 1 species
GCUCUUGAAGCUGAUUGAGCGUUGGACUCUUAAUUCAAAAGUAGUCAGGUUUCUGACCAAGGGUA